rnacentral:rRNA from 1 species
UACGUAGGGUCCGAGCGUUGUCCGGAAUUAUUGGGCGUAAAGAGCUCGUAGGCGGCUUGUCGCGUUGUUCGUGAAAAUUUACCGCUCAACGGUGAACUUGCGGGCGAUACGGGCAGGCUAGAGUACUGCAGGGGAGACUGGAAUUCCUGGUGUAGCGGUGAAAUGCGCAGAUAUCAGGAGGAACACCGGUGGCGAAGGCGGGUCUCUGGGCCGAUACUGACGUGAGGAGCGAAAGCGUGGGGAGCGAACAGG